CGUAUAAAGAGAUAAAGCAGGGCUGUCUGAAGUUUGUUUAAGGCGGAAAGCAUGCGAGCAGGACAGCACGUGUGUUGACCCAAAUCGUUACGUGUGCCCGUCUGUCCACUUCUAUUGGGUGCAAGAUCAGUUGAGCAAAGGUUCACAAGAUGAAGAUCAGACGCUUUAAGAUUAGGAACUAUGAAGAAGAAAUGCCUAAGAUUGCGCAAAAAGUUCUGGAAAAGAGUCAUGACUCGAAAGUGAACGCAAUUAUAUUAAUAGGAAGUGGAUUGGCCUAAUGAUGACUUUGGCGGGCUGAAGGAAAACGUGACCAUCACUUACCCACUGGAAUUGAGCAGGAGGAAACUUGCAUCAAUGUUAUCAAAUGAUUAACCAACAUGAAUGAUGAUUCUGAGGAAGUGCAUUGCUCUUUGAAGUGAGGAAGGAAGGUUGAGAGAGCUCUCUCUCCAGCACAUGCCUCCCUCAUUAGUGUCCAGCAGCCGAAGACGCCAGGUCACAAACCCAAUGAGCUGCCCAUUUCAUUCAGCUUUGCUGACAUGGAAAGAUGACCACAGUGACCUAAUGUUGCAGGACGGUCUGACAGCACAUUGUACACAACAUAUAAAGUAGCCUGAAUAACCCUUGAACCUUGUGUGGAGUGCAUUAUUUUGUAUGAACUGCUAUAUUGUCCAACUUUUCAACAUGCUUGUAGAUUUUAUUCAUUCAAUAAAUUGUGCAUUU